CUUUGAAUGAGAAUUAUUGGAAACAAUUCUUCAGCCUUUGUUGCAAAAGUUGGACCAAGUCAUCCAAAUAGUCUGUUCUUGCCUUAAAAUCUACUCUGCAUUAUUCUCUCUGGCACUCCUCACCUCUGAUCACAUAGAUAAUAUCAUUCCUGCUGCAGGAAGAAGCAUAAAUCCACUUGAUGGUGUAAGGCUCUGUGGAGAAGCACAGGACUAAGGAGCACUGCAGUGCACCUAAGCAUUGUGAUCAGCCCCGCCGGACAAUGGGGAUCUCCUUUUGACUCACUUUCACAGCUUUGAGAGGCUCUCAGAUCAGCCACAUUCCAAUCAGACUGGAGUCAGAUCAGAGCCGGGCUGGACUGCAUCAAGGUCUCUCGCACAGAAAGACAAGGAGCAGAUGGCCAACACUGAGCUCUCCUCCCCUUUUCAGAGUGCAAUGGAAGGCAAUGUGGGAAAGCGUUCCCCCAGCAUUGCCUAUUGAUUUCUGAAUAGGACCACCACAUGCCACCAGCCUGUAGGUAUGAACCUCUGUUAACAGAUGGUGAGAUCAUUAUGAGCAAUUAAUUCCUUUAAUGUAUCAGUGGGAACAUGUUGGAAAGGGUGAUGCAAGCACAGAGUGAAUAGUGAACUUCUCAUUCCUCAGGGAGAGCUGCAGCUACAUCACUGAAGGAUGGGAACAGUCUUUCAAGAGGGUCUGUACAUACUGAGAACCAGAGCUAGCCAUUUGGUCCGCAGAAACGAAGCAUGGUUUUUAUUAACCAAUCAUCCCUCCCUCGUUGAUAUGUGAUUAACAACAGAUUUCUUUCUAGGUCAUUUUUGGAGAGACAGACAAUUCAAAACAAUGGGAAAAAAAAUCCCAAACUAUCAACACGAUAGGAAGACAGGGAAUUCGGACCUAGAGAUGAUGGGGGAAUAUUGCUACAUAACUCUUUGUUACAUAAAAUUUAAUUUCGACUGACUGUAAUUUAAUAAGGAAACAGACUAUUUUGAACACAACUAUGUGCAUAUAAAUAAAUAAGAGGAAUUCAUAAUAGCUCUUUGCA
rnacentral:lncRNA from 1 species